UAAUUAUUUAUUGAAAAAGAAAAAGAAGGCAAGUUACUUCUUAGUUCUUACCUUUGUUCUCUCAUCAUCAAUCAUUUGCUUUAUUUUCUUAUGAUCCUUCGGUCAACAAAAGGCAAAGACAAUGAAAUUGUGAGUUAUUUAGCAACCGAAAAUGUAUGAGAGACGAUUCUGCAAUUUCUUUGACGGGAAUGGAAGAAAUGCUACUACAUAUUUCGAUUCCGGUCUUAGAUUUUUGAGAUGAAAAAAUGUAAUGGAUCCUUAUAAAGAGGGAUCAUCUGCAUCUUACUAUAGUGCUAUGGUUAGUUGGUUCUCUUCCCUAUGCAUUCAUUUUAAUCUAUGUUUGGCUAUUUGGGAUAAUAAUUAUCCUAGUCAUAGAUAUAACGUCACGUGCAUAUAGGUACAAAUGUGAAAUGAUAAUUUAAGUGAGAUUGUGAAUUCAAUACAAUAAUGACAUCUAGCAUCUAUUACUAUGCUGUU